rnacentral:rRNA from 1 species
UGUGAUGCGGGACCUGAUGCAGCACGCCGCGUGGAGGAUGACGCAUUUCGGUGUGUAAACUCCUUUUAUAUGUCAAGAAAAUGACGGUAGCAUAUGAAUAAGCACCGGCUAACUCCGUGCCAGCAGCCGCGGUAAUACGGAGGGUGCAAGCGUUACUCGAAUCACUGGGCG